rnacentral:rRNA from 1 species
CCUACGGGUGGCUGCAGUGGGGAAUAUUGGACAAUGGGGGGAACCCUGAUCCAGCCAUGCCGCGUGUGUGAAGAAGGCCCUCGGGUUGUAAAGCACUUUCAGUGAGGAAGAACGCCUGGUGGUUAAUACCCAUCAGGAAAGACAUCACUCACAGAAGAAGCACCGGCUAACUCCGUGCCAGCAGCCGCGGUAAUACGGAGGGUGCGAGCGUUAAUCGGAAUUACUGGGCGUAAAGCGCGCGUAGGUGGCUUGAUAAGCCGGUUGUGAAAGCCCCGGGCUCAACCUGGGAACGGCAUCCGGAACUGUCAAGCUAGAGUGCAGGAGAGGAAGGUAGAAUUCCCGGUGUAGCGGUGAAAUGCGUAGAGAUCGGGAGGAAUGCCAGUGGCGAAGGCGGCCUUCUGGACUGACACUGACACUGAGGUGCGAAAGCGUGGGUAGCAAACAGGAUUAGAUAUCCGUGUAGUC